rnacentral:tRNA from 1 species
GCGCCAUUAGCUCAACUGGUAGAGCACCGGUCUCCAAAAUCGGUUGUGUAGGUUCGAGUCCUGCAUGGUGUGCCA